UUUUUCACAUUUGCAGUUAUUGUGGGAAGGGCUAGGACUUGGCGGAGGUGACGGUGUUGGAAAUUGGCACACAGGAACAAUGAUAAUAAAAAGGUUCUUCUUGGACUUGGAGGUGGUCACUAUGGAUAUUAAUUAUUCUGAGUUUUAAAAGUUGGCAAAAGAAUGCCAUCACAAGUUUUUUAGCAGAGCAAAAUAUACAAGUCGGGGGGAAGCCUUCCGACUUCUUUUAACAUGAGCACGUUCCUUCGAAUUACUAUAGCUUCUGCUAU